rnacentral:rRNA from 1 species
AUGGACUGGAAACCUACGGUGAUGAUGAUAGCGGUGGUGAUCAUGUAUGCGGUGUUGAAUGUGCUCACGAAGAUGGCUUUCAAUGAAGGGAUGCACACCACUGUCUUCAUCGUCCUCCGCCUGCUCGUCGCCGCGCUCUUCCUCUCCCCGAUCGCAUACUUCAAAGAGAGGAAGAGUAGACCUAAGCUGACCAUGGAGAUAUUCGUCUACCUCUUCUUCAGUGCCUUGCUCGGAGCCUCUCUGAUCCAGUGGCUCUUCUUCCUUGGCCUGCGGUACACGACCGCCACGUUCGCGAGCGCCUUCAACAACACGACCCCCAUGUUCACUUUCCUCCUCGCACUCGCCUUCAAGGUUGAGAAGAUCGAUGUUGCCAGCCGCUCCGGCGCAGCGAAGCUCACCGGCACGGCCGUGGGGCUGGCCGGAGCGGCGGUGCUGGCACUCUACCAUGGCCCGACCCUGAUGGGAGCGCCGUCGGGGGACCACAUGGACUCCACAGCCACCCACGGCGGUGCGCGGAGGUGGGCGGUGGGCUCGGUGGCGCUGCUGGGCUUCUCGGCGAGCUGGUCGUUGUGGUUCAUCCUACAGUCCAAGAUCGGGACAAAGUACCCGGCGCUCUACUCCGGCACAGCGUGGAUGUUCGUGCUCAGCUUCAUCCAGAUGGCCACAGUCGGGGCUGCCACCGAGAAGAUGAACUUGCAGAUCUGGGUCCCACGCACGGCGCUCCAGGCUGUGACCGUGGUAUUUGCUGGCGUGGGGUCGUCCGGGCUGGGGUUCCUGGUCAUGUCAUGGUGUGUGGAGCGGCGAGGGCCUGUGUUCACCACCGCCUUCAUGCCGCUAAUCCAGAUCGUCACGGCCGGGCUCGAUGUCACCGUCCUCCAUGAGCAGCUCCACCUCGGGAGCGUUGUCGGGUCGGCGGUCGUGGUCGUGGGGCUCUACUUGGUCCUGUGGGGAAAGAGCAACGAGGCGAGCAUCGGAUCCAAACUCCCUGCGUGA